rnacentral:rRNA from 1 species
GGUUAAGCGACUAAGCGUACACGGUGGAUGCCCUGGCAGUCAGAGGCGAUGAAGGGCGUGCUAAUCUGCGAUAAGCGCCGGUAAGGUGAUAUGAACCGUUAUAACCGGCGAUACCCGAAUGGGGAAACCCAGUGUGAUUCGUCACACUAUCAUUAACUGAAUCCAUAGGUUAAUGAGGCGAACCGGGGGAACUGAAACA